UUGGACCCUUUUGACCUCAAUAUGAACCAAUUUGAUAGCGGGGCCUACAAAUAAAAAAUCUAAAUACAUGGUUAGAUUCAGCAUAUCAAAGAACCUCAUAUAUUCAAUUUUUGUUGAAAUCAAACAAAUUUAAUUUUGGACCCCAAUUUGGACCAACUUGAAAACUGGGCCAAAAAUCAAAAAUCUAAAUACAUGUUAAGAUUCAGCAUAUCAAAGAACCUCAUAUAUUCAAUUUUUGCUAAAAUCAAACAAA